AUCGCUUCUCGGCCUUUUGGCUACGAUCAAGUGUACUAUUUGUUUUUAUCAGUUUAAUAUCUUAUACGUCUCCCAGCUGAAGUCCAUAUAUUAAAUUGCUCAAGCUGUACAAUGUUAAAACUCUGUCAUUGUUCGCUAGCUGUAUCUGGGCUUCUUAUAGCUAAAGCUUG
rnacentral:snRNA from 1 species